GACGAACCGUGCGAACGUUGUUCGGAAUCACUGGGCUUAAAGGGCGCGUAGGCGGCCUGGUCAGUCAGGGGUGAAAUCUUUCGGCUUAACCGGAAAAGUGCCUUUGAUACUACCAGGCUUGAGGGAGAUAGGGGCGUGUGGAACUUCCAGUGGAGCGGUGAAAUGCGUUGAUAUUGGAAGGAACGCCGGUGGCGAAAGCGACACGCUGGGUCUCUUCUGACGCUGAGGCGCGAAAGCUAGGGGAGCGAACGGG
rnacentral:misc_RNA from 1 species